UAUAAGUAAACAACACAAAAUAAAAACAAGAAGGCACAAACAAUGAAUAAUAAGAGUGAUGAAUAAAUAAUAAAUAAACAAAUAACACAAUAAAUAAGAGGAGCAAAACGGAGCAAGUGUGCAUACAGCAGACAGUCAGAACAUAGCGCAAAAGUACAGGAUGCUACUAAAGGAAAAUGUGCUUUUUGGCAGCUUGCAAACAUAUUUUCUUAAAGGCUAAGUUAGACAUAUAUAUAUAUAUAAUCACAUCAAGUUAAUCUUCAGUAGUGGCUGUGCUCAUGGAAAGCAGUUGAUGAACCGGAAAGUGAGGAAGUGUGCAAACAAUUGCACCAAGAUGUUUUCUCCUAAGUGUUAUUUACACAGGGUGCAAGCAUCGGUCAGGCGAGACCAAGACUGGGUUGUAAAAUAGAAAUGGCUUUAACAGGACGUGCCAGAAUUCAACUAGCAGUGAUGGAAGGAGGAGAGGAAGACCAGUGACAUCUGGUUGUGGUGUGGUGACAACAAAUUAUAUGAUCGCUUGCCGAAGGAUGCAUCAGGUAUCUGUGCCCUCGUGUCUUUGAUAAUGCCUGUAGUGGUUGUCCCCAUUGAAAUACAGAAUCUCAAUUGGAACAUGGAGUCCCCACUGGCGGGGCUCCUGAAGCGAGCCAAAAGAGACGUUUUGCCCCCAUGGUUGAGCGACAACAAUCCAACAUAUAUUGACGCCAUAGGAGUGCCGCGGGGUGUGCCAGAUAAGUAUAAACUCGUUAAUCAAGUGUCCUCGGGAUUCGAAAGCAUUUUCCUAUGUAUCACCCCCGAUAAAAUGGUGACCGUAUUAAUUACGUUCCGACUAACCCAGGUGUUGGAAGGACUAGGGACACUGAAUAAAAAUAUGAAAGAUCAUUCAGGUGUAUGCACCGAUAUUUGGUCUGAUUGGAUGAAAACGUUUGGAAGCUGGAAAGGCCUUAUCAUGUCUGUGCUCGUCGCUGUGGCUAUUUUUACUGCAGUGAUGAUUUUGUGCGGCUGUUGUUGUAUUCCAUGUAUUACACUCACUGUCCGGUUGAUCGAGAAAACCGUUGGCCCGUUGCUACCGAAUGGCCAAUAUGCCCUGGUGACUCAACAUGAGCUGGCAGGGGCAGAAAGAACCGACUGUGUGUUGGUCGCUGCUUGCUAGAGAAACAGGUGAUGACCUCAUAAAUGAGGUCAUGAGAGGGAAUAAAGGAAAAUGUGCUUUUUGACAGCUUGCAAACAUAUUUUCUUAAAGGCUAAGUUAGACAUAUAUAUAUAAUCACAUCAAGUUAAUCUUCAGUAGUGGCUGUGCUCAUGCAAAGCAGUUGAUGAAGCGGAAAGUGAGGAAGUGUGCAAACAAUUGCACCAAGAUGUUUUCUCCUAAGUGUUAUUUACACAGGGUGCAAGCAUCGGUCAGGCGAGACCAAACACGUACAAGCCGUCAAAAAUAUCUACAGAUUGUAGGAGUGAGAAUUACACCUCGUCGUUGUGGUCGGACGCGCUAGUCAAACCCAACCACCAGGACGUCUGCACUCGCCGAUAAGCACCCAGUGGGGAGGAAACGGCCAUCGACCAAUCGUCUCACAAUGUUUUGCAUGUUUGAAUAUUCAUAUUGUGUUUCUUUAUAACUCGGUAACCCGGAAGAAUGUGUUGAUCCUUGAUGGUCACAAGAACACACGAGCUUUAGUGUGAGGAACCCGGAACCCAGGCCUGUAUUAGUUUGCUUUGUCAGGAAUAAACAAUUGGUAAAUUCGG